rnacentral:rRNA from 1 species
UACGUAGGGGGCAAGCGUUGUCCGGAAUUAUUGGGCGUAAAGAGCUCGUAGGCGGCUUGUCACGUCGGGUGUGAAAGCCCGGGGCUUAACCCCGGGUCUGCAUUCGAUACGGGCUAGCUAGAGUGUGGUAGGGGAGAUCGGAAUUCCUGGUGUAGCGGUGAAAUGCGCAGAUAUCAGGAGGAACACCGGUGGCGAAGGCGGAUCUCUGGGCCAUUACUGACGCUGAGGAGCGAAAGCGUAGGGAGCGAACAGG